UUCCGGAUGCAGAGAGAGAGGGAGAGAGGGAGAGAGCAGACGUAUCAUUACUAAGUGCUGGGAAGGAAACGACUCGAGCAGGAACCUUUCAGUGCAUUUCCAAGAUAACCCAGAUUACCUCGCUGACAUCUCACCACUCACCACUCACCUCUCCGUAAGAGCGCCGUCUUCCCCCUUCAGAGCGCCCACCAUGAAAACAUGACGAGCCCAGACCGAGACCGAGAACUUCCCUUCUGUUUCCCAGUGUCUCUUCGUCAACAGUUCCCUCGAUUUCUGGAAUUUGAGACUUGCUAAGACAGCUUCGUUAGCGGUUGUAAUGAGUAGCAUGUGGAGCUUUUCUUCUUUAUGUUCCCGGUUCACCUUCACUGGCAGAGGAACACAAGCCCCUCUUAUGAACCAGCCAGUGUUCAGCGCCACGCCAGAACACAUUGGCAGUACAUUGCCGUAUAUGUCCUGACCUGAACGUGGCUGGUGAGAGGCGAGGAGAGACGAGAAGACCUGUGGGGGUGGCAGCAAGGUGGGUCACGAGCAUUGUGGUGCCCGCGAGUCCCUCCACCACCCACACAACGCACUUAAUAAACACGGAUUGGUGGGUAAUGAAGCAGAAGUAAGAGGCCUUGUCCCCGCAGCCUUCAGGACGUGCUCUGCGAGGCUCUGCGGGGUGCCUCGGGUCCACCUCUUGUCUCCCUCGCUGUUCUGGAAGGAAGGGGCGUAGACUGAAGAUUGUGAGGACUGCUAUACCACCUGUCUCACGCCUCUGCCAUCACCUCUCCCUCUCACCUCCCAUCACCUCCGCUAUCAUUGCAGCCUCACGCCAUUGCCAGUCACCGUCCGCGUUGACAGAAGGAGGAGGAACAAGGAAAGGAGGCGGGAGGGAGGCAAGGCGGAGAGGAUUGAAUAGACGAGAGUGGGUGGGGGGAGGAAGGAGAAGAAAGCGAGGGAAAAAGAAGGGAAGAAGAGGAACGAGAGGAACGUACGUGAUGAAAGGAGAGGCUGGAAUCUGGAGGAAUUCACCUGGCCAACCUUUCAUCCUAUUAGCUGAGCCUGGAACACUUGCAUACCUGUGCUGAGAUUAUCCUUACUGCAUGGAACACGCCCUCUGCUCCCCUGUGUCUGCCGCUGGACGCCACUGACCUGCUCCCCCCGCUCUCUCCCUCCCUUCUUAAAGCCGUAUUUUCCAGCGCUUCGCCUCGACCACCUAUGACAGGCUCUCGUGAAUGUUAUUGGGCUUUCAAAGGUGGUUGUAUGAUUUCUGUGGUAGUUUUAAAUGAAUUCUCCAUCUCCCUUUCUUGAAAAUUUUCCUAAUAAGAGUUUUAGUGUUUAAGAAUGUAGCCUUCAACUUUUUCCUAUCUCCUUGUUAAGACGCUUCUUUUUUUCUCUCGUUGACGGCCUGCAGUGGAUGUUACUCGGUUUUCAAGGGUGUUUCCAUGAUUCCAGUGAUAAUUUUGGAAGAAUUCUUGAUUAUCAGUUAGAAAAGCACUCCAAAACGUUUAAGAUUACCGGUCCUCACCUGUAGCCCCCCUCCCCUCUCUGCUAUCACACCACCAAGCAGCUCUGCGGUGUUGUGUCCCUCCGCCCCUAGCCACGAGGCCUGCAGCGCCCAUUCCACGCCCCCUCGACGCCCCCUGUAGUGUGAGGCAUUCUUGGCGCCUACUGUCGUUUUGCACCUCUCCUUCCCACACGUGAUGGAUCCUAAUUAAUCAUGGGGAGAGUGUCACUUUCCAGUGCGGGUCAAAGCGUGUUGUGGUGCUGCGCCUCCUGACGGUGGUAGCCGCGGCAGGAGAGGGAAACAGACGUGGAUUAAUAACUUGACGUCACUGUAAUUGAUUCUGGCACGAGGCUCGCUUGGGUACAUUAAAGUGUCGGUGAAUUAUUGACCCUCGUGUUCAUUAUGGGAAGGUCAUGGCGACAGACUCGUUUAAUGUCUUGUACUGAGCUCCUGUUUGAGAGAGAGUGGUUUUAUUCAUUUCAGAAAAAGAGGGUCGGAAAUAUAUUUGAUUUCUAAGAGAGGGUUGGAAUGUGUUGCUUUACUCCUAAGAAAGGGGGUUAGAAUACACACUUUCAGCUAAGAGAAAGAAGGUUUUAGGUGUAUAGGUUUAUUUAUAAGAGAGUGUUGAGCUUUAUACUUUUACUCCUUAGAGACAGAGUGCUGGAAUGUGUACUCGUGUUCCUAAGAAAGAAGGUUCAACUCUAAAUUUUAAUUCCUAAGAAACAACUGGAAUAUACUUGCAUAUUUCACUCCUCAUAAGGAAAAGACUGAGAUUGUACCAUAAAACUCCCCCAAAAAGAGGGAAAAUUGAUGAAA